UUUGCGAGGGGGAUAACAGUUGGAAACGACUGCUAAUACCGCAUAAUGUCUUCGGACCAAACGGGGCUUAGGCUCCGGCGCAAAGAGAGGCCCAAGUGAGAUUAGCUAGUUGGUAAGGUAAAGGCUUACCAAGGCAACGAUCUCUAGCUGUUCUGAGAGGAAGAUCAGCCACACUGGGACUGAGACACGGCCCAGACUCCUACGGGAGGCAGCAGUGGGGAAUAUUGCACAAUGGGGGAAACCCUGAUGCAGCCAUGCCGCGUGUGUGAAGAAGGCCUUCGGGUUGUAAAGCACUUUCAGUUGUGAGGAAAAGUUAGUAGUUAAUACCUGCUAGCCGUGACGUUAACAACAGAAGAAGCACCGGCUAACUCCGUGCCAGCAGCCGCGGUAAUACGGAGGGUGCGAGCGUUAAUCGGAAUUACUGGGCGUAAAGCGCACGCAGGCGGUUUGUUAAGCUAGAUGUGAAAGCCCCGGGCUCAACCUGGGAUGGUCAUUUAGAACUGGCAGACUAGAGUCUUGGAGAGGGGAGUGGAAUUCCAGGUGUAGCGGUGAAAUGCGUAGAUAUCUGGAGGAACAUCAGUGGCGAAGGCGACUCCCUGGCCAAAGACUGACGCUCAUGUGCGAAAGUGUGGGUAGCGAACAGGAUUAGAUACCCUGGUAGUCCACACCGUAAACGCUGUCUACUAGCUGUUUGUGACUUUAAGUCGUGAGUAGCGAAGCUAACGCGCUAAGUAGACCGCCUGGGGAGUACGGCCGCAAGGUUAAAACUCAAAUGAAUUGACGGGGGCCCGCACAAGCGGUGGAGCAUGUGGUUUAAUUCGAUGC
rnacentral:rRNA from 1 species